AUUGAACGCUGGCGGCAGGCCUAACACAUGCAAGUCGAGCGGAUGAAGGGAGCUUGCUCCUGGAUUCAGCGGCGGACGGGUGAGUAAUGCCUAGGAAUCUGCCUGGUCGUGGGGGAUAACGUCCGGAAACGGGCGCUAAUACCGCAUACGUCCUGAGGGAGAAAGUGGGGGAUCUUCGGACCUCACACUAUCAGAUGAGCCUAGGUCGGAUUAGCUAGUUGGUGGGGUAAAGGCCUACCAAGGCGACGAUCCGUAACUGGUCUGAGAGGAUGAUCAGUCACACUGGAACUGAGACACGGUCCAGACUCCUACGGGAGGCAGCAGUGGGGAAUAUUGGACAAUGGGCGAAAGCCUGAUCCAGCCAUGCCGCGUGUGUGAAGAAGGUCUUCGGAUUGUAAAGCACUUUAAGUUGGGAGGAAGGGCAGUAAGUUAAUACCUUGCUGUUUUGACGUUACCAACAGAAUAAGCACCGGCUAACUUCGUG
rnacentral:rRNA from 1 species